rnacentral:lncRNA from 1 species
GGUAACUGAACAACAUUGUCCCCAACUACCGCAAGGGGUGCAGCAGCAUGUUCAUUGAUGAGUAGUUCUGCAGAUUCAUAGCCAGGUGCCUCAUCGAGAGCCUCAGAGACGGUAUUCGCUGCUCCCUCAGACAAAUUAUCUGCAGAUUCAUUGCUACGUGCAUUUUCCUUGGAGUCUUGAUCUGCAGGUGACUGAACAGGUUCAUUGGCAGAUGUGUCCCCAACUACGUCAAAGGGUGCAGCAGCAUGUUCAUCGAUGAGUAGUUCUGCAGAUUCAUUGCUAGGUGUCUCACCGAGUGCCUCAGAGAUGAUAUUCACUGCUCCCUCAGACAAAUUAUCUGAUGCCAGGGUGACGUUUUCCUUGGAGUCUUGAUCUGCAGGUAACUGAACAGGUUCAUUGGCAGAUGUGUCCCCAACUACUUCAGAAGUGUGGUCCAGUGUUCCAUCAGAGAACUUAGUUGGUGCAGAGAAGUCCACGGUAGUAGGAUUUGG